rnacentral:tRNA from 1 species
GUUUUUAUGGUUGAAUACAACGGUGGUCUUUCAAUUCACAGGUCCUAGUUAAAAUCUGGGUAAAAACA